rnacentral:rRNA from 1 species
GGCGUGCCUAACACAUGCAAGUCGAACGAAGCUUGACGGAUGAUUUCUUCGGAAUGAAACCUGAUAUGACUUAGUGGCGGACGGGUGAGUAACACGUGAGCAACCUGCCUUUCAGAGGGGGAUAACGGCUGGAAACGGUCGCUAAUACCGCAUGAUGUGUUCGGAUGGCAUCAUCUGAACAUCAAAGAUUUAUCGCUGAAAGAUGGGCUCGCGUCUGAUUAGAUAGUUGGUGGGGUAACGGCCUACCAAGUCUACGAUCAGUAGCCGGACUGAGAGGUUGAACGGCCACAUUGGGACUGAGAUACGGCCCAGACUCCUACGGGAGGCAGCAGUGGGGAAUAUUGCACAAUGGGGGAAACCCUGAUGCAGCAACGCCGCGUGAAGGAUGACGGUUUUCGGAUUGUAAACUUCUUUUCUUAGUGACGAAGACAGUGACGGUAGCUAAGGAAUAAGCAUCGGCUAACUACGUGCCAGCAGCCGCGGUAAUACGUAGGAUGCAAGCGUUAUCCGGAUUUACUGGGUGUAAAGGGAGCGCAGGCGGGACUGCAAGUUGGAUGUGAAAUACCGUGGCUUAACCACGGAACUGCAUCCAAAACUGUAGUUCUUGAGUGAAGUAGAGGCAAGCGGAAUUCCGAGUGUAGCGGUGAAAUGCGUAGAUAUUCGGAGGAACACCAGUGGCGAAGGCGGCUUGCUGGGCUUUAACUGACGCUGAGGCUCGAAAGUGUGGGGAGCAAACAGGAUUAGAUACCCUGGUAGUCCACACUGUAAACGAUGAUAGCUAGGUGUGGGGGGUCUGACCCCUUCCGUGCCGGAGUUAACGCAAUAAGCUAUCCACCUGGGGAGUACGACCGCAAGGUUGAAACUCAAAUGAAUUGACGG